AUUGAACGCUGGCGGCAGGCCUAACACAUGCAAGUCGAACGGUAACAGGAAGAAUCUUGCUUCUUUGCUGACGAGUGGCGGACGGGUGAGUAAUGUCUGGGAAACUGCCUGAUGGAGGGGGAUAACUACUGGAAACGGUAGCUAAUACCGCAUAACGUCGCAAGACCAAAGAGGGGGACCUUCGGGCCUCUUGCCAUCGGAUGUGCCCAGAUGGGAUUAGCUAGUAGGUGGGGUAACGGCUCACCUAGGCGACGAUCCCUAGCUGGUCUGAGAGGAUGACCAGCCACACUGGAACUGAGACGCGGUCCAGACUCCUACGGGAGGCAGCAGUGGGGAAUAUUGCACAAUGGGCGCAAGCCUGAUGCAGCCAUGCCGCGUGUAUGAAGAAGGCCUUCGGGUUGUAAAGUACUUUCAGCGGGGAGGAAGGGAGUAAAGUUAAUACCUUUGCUCAUUGACGUUACCCGCAGAAGAAGCACCGGCUAACUCCGUG
rnacentral:rRNA from 1 species